ACGUAGGGUGCAAGCGUUAAUCGGAAUUACUGGGCGUAAAGCGUGCGCAGGCGGCUUUGUAAGACAGAUGUGAAAUCCCCGGGCUUAACCUGGGAAUGGCGUUUGAGACUGCAAGGCUGGAGUUUGGCAGAGGGGGGUAGAAUUCCAGGUGCAGCAGUGAAAUGCGUAGAUAUCAGGAGGAAUACCGAUGGCGAAGGCAGCCCCCUGGGUUAUAACUGACGCUCAUGCACGAAAGCGUGGGGAGCAAACAGGA
rnacentral:rRNA from 1 species